UCCCUUGUGGCUCAGCUGGUGAAGACUCUGCCUGCAAUGCAGAAGACCUAGGUUCAAUCCCUGGUUUAGGAA
rnacentral:tRNA from 1 species